rnacentral:rRNA from 1 species
GGAUUAGCGCCAAUGAUGUUAUGCUUCCAAGAAAAGCUCGUACACCUCUAAAUUUAUUUAGAAAAACACAAAAAUGACCUGUACCUGAAACCGACACAGGUAGGUUGGUAGAGUAUACCAAGGGGCGCGAGAGAACUCUCUCUAAGGAACUCGGCAAACUAACCCCGUAACUUCCGAAUAAGGGGUGCCCUUUUUUAAGGAGGGCCGCAGUAUCAAUCAUUUUGGCAACUGUUUAUCAAAAACACAGGUCUCCGCAAAGUCGUAAGACAAUAUAUGGGGGCUGACGCCUGCCCAGUGCCGGAAGGUCAAGGAAGUUGGUUAGAAUUCUUCUGAAUUCGAAGCUGACGACCGAAGCCCCGGUGAACGGCGGCCGUAACGAUGACGGUCCUAAGGUAGCGAAAUUCAUUGUCGAGUAAGUUUCGACCUGCACGAAAGGCGUAAUGAUCAAAAUGCUGUCUCGGAGAGAGGCUCGGUGAAAUAGACUUGUCCGUGAAGAUGCGGACUACUAAUACUUGGACAGAAAGACCCUAUGAAGCUUGACUGUAUCUUGGAAUUGGGAUCGGGCUUUUCUUGCGCAGUCUAGGUGGGAGGCUAUGAAGAUUUCCUUCCGGGGAAGUUGGAGCCAACAGUGAGAGACCACUCUGGAGAGGCUAGAAUCCUAAUGGUGAUCCUUGAAUCAGGACACUUGACAGUUUCAGGUGGGCAGUUUUUCUGGGGCGGAAGCCUCAUAAAAGGUAACUGAGGUGCGCAAAGGUUCCCUCAGUCUGGACGGAAAUCAGACAGCGAGUGUAAAGGCAAAAGGGAGCUUGACUGCAAGACCUACAAGUCGAGCAGGAGCGAAAGCUGGCCUUAGUGAUCCGACGGUGCCGUGUGGAAGGGCCGUCGCUCAACGAAUAAAAGUUACUCUAGGAUAACAGGCUGAUCUUCUCCAAGAGUUCACAUCGACGAGAAGGUUUGGCACCUCGAUGUCGGCUCAUCACAUCCUGGGGCUGUAGUAGGUCCCAAGGGUUGGGCUGUUCGCCCAUUAAAGUGGUACGUGAGCUGGGUUCAGAACGUCGUAAGACAGUUCGGUCCAUAUCCGGUAUUAGCGUUAGAAUAUUGAGGUCAGUCACUCAUAGUACGAGAGGACCUGUAGUGAACAUGCCAAUAGUGUGCCUGUUAUCUUUCCAAAGGUAAACGCAGGGUAGCUACGCAUGGAGUGAAUAAGUACUGAAUGCAUCUAAGUACGAAGUCCAGGCCAAGAUGAGUAUUCUCCAUUAAGCCACAGCAAGACAAGCUGGUGUAUAGGUAUCAAGUGUAAGGCCAGCAAUGGUUUCAGCUGAGAUAUACUAAAGGCUAA